rnacentral:rRNA from 1 species
AUUGAACGCUGGCGGCAGGCCUAACACAUGCAAGUCGAGCGGAGCGGCGGACGGGUGAGUAAUGCCUAGGAAUCUGCCUGGUCGUGGGGGAUACCGUCCGGAACCGGGCGCUAAUACCGCAUCCUAUCAGAUGAGCCUAGGUCGGAUUAGCUAGUUGGUGGGGUAAAGGCCUACCAAGGUGACGAUCCGUAACUGGUCUGAGAGGAUGAUCAGUCACACUGGAACUGAGAAACGGUCCAGACUCCUACGGGAGGCAGCAGUGGGGAAUAUUGGACAAUGGACGAAAGCCUGAUCCAGCCAUGCCGCGUGUGUGAAGAAGGUCUGCGGAUGGUAAAGCACUUUUAGUUGGGAGGCGUUACCAACAGAAUAAGCACCGGCUAACUACGUGCCAGCAGCCGCGGUAAUUC